rfam:Rattus norvegicus chromosome 15, whole genome shotgun sequence.
GGGGAUUUAGCUCAAUGGUAGAGCACUUGCCUAGCAAGCGCAAGGCCCUGGGUUCGAUCCCCAGCUCCG